UGUCAAUUAUCUUGCGUCGUAUGAUGGC
rnacentral:piRNA from 1 species